GAUGAACGCUGGCGGCGUGCCUAAUACAUGCAAGUCGAACGAAACUUCUUUAUCACCGAGUGCUUGCACUCACCUAUAAAGAGUUGAGUGGCGAACGGGUGAGUAACACGUGGGCAACCUGCCCAAAAGAGGGGGAUAACACUUGGAAACAGGUGCUAAUACCGCAUAACCAUAGUUACCGCAUGGUAACUAUGUAAAAGGUGGCUAUACUACCGCUUUUGGAUGGGCCCGCGGCGCAUUAGCUAGUUGGUAGGGUAAAGGCUUACCAAGGCAAUGAUGCGUAGCCGAAUUGAGAGGUUGAUCGGCCACAUUGGGACUGAGACACGGCCCAAACUCCUACGGGAGGCAGCAGUAGGGAAUCUUCCACAAUGGGCGAAAGCCUGAUGGAGCAACGCCGCGUGGGUGAAGAAGGUCUUCGGAUCGUAAAACCCUGUUGUUAGAGAAGAAAGUGCGUGAGAGUAACUGUUCACGUUUCGACGGUAUCUAACCAGAAAGCCACGGCUAACUACGUG
rnacentral:rRNA from 1 species